rnacentral:rRNA from 1 species
UGCCCUACGGGACGCAGCAGUGGGGGAUAUUGCACAAUGGAGGAAACUCUGAUGCAGCGACGCCGCGUGAGGGAAGACGGUCUUCGGAUUGUAAACCUCUGUCUUUGGGGAAGAAAAUGACGGUACCCAAAGAGGAAGCUCCGGCUAACUACGUGCCAGCAGCCGCGGUAAUACGUAGGGAGCGAGCGUUGUCCGGAAUUACUGGGUGUAAAGGGAGCGUAGGCGGGACUGCAAGUUGGGUGUCAAAUCUACCGGCUCAACCGGUAGCCGCACUCAAAACUGCAGUUCUUGAGUGAAG